AAUGAACGCUGGCGGUAGGCUUAACACAUGCAAGUCGAGCGCCCCGCCAGGAGAGCGGCAGACGGGUGAGUAACGCGUGGCAACGUACCUUUUGGUUCGGCACAACUCCGGGAAUCUGGAGCUAAUACCGGAUAAGCCCUAACGUGGUAAGAGUUAUCGCCGAAAGUUCGGCCCGCGUCUGAUUAGCUAGUUGGUGAGGUAACGGCUCCCCAAGGCGACGAUCAGUAGCUGGUCUGAUAGGAUGAUCAGCCACACUGGAAGUGAGGCACGGCCCAGACUCCUACGGGAGGGAGCAGAAGGGUAUAUUAGACAAUGGGCGCAAGCCUGAACCAGCCACGCGGCGUGAGUGAUGAUGGCCUUAAGAUAGUAAAGGUCUUUUGUCCGGGAAGAUAAUGGCUGUACCGGAAGGAUAAGGCCCGGCUUACUUCGGU
rnacentral:rRNA from 1 species